CACUGAGCCACCAAAUACUCACAGGGGGACUUCCGGGUGCGCGUCCUUCCAGAUCCUUCUCCCUGAGAGGUGGGAUAAUACGUGAAGUGCCACCAGCUCUGGUUCGCCCACCCUUCUUACCUUCUUCUCUAGAGGAGCCCUCCUCCACUCCUGAUUUGGGAAGGCCUCGGAGCUCUUGGGAAAGUCAUGAAGGUGGAGUCAACAUCUAACAUCAGCUGGAGACUCUGAGUCGUGUUGAACUUCUCUUCCUCUUGGGACUCCUUCUUGGCAUUUCCCCGGAGGGAGCUUCAAGCCUGGGACCUCAAGAGCCUGAAUACAUAAGAAGGAGGAGAGCAUGGGUCAGACCCUGAGAAAAACCAACAAUUUGAGGAGCAGAAGAAGAAUCUUCAAAAGGAGAAGAGAAGGAGAAAUGGGAGGAAAACUAGGAAUGCUUCCUGAAGCAUCCCUGAAGUGAAGGAAGUGAGUGCUUAGAAGCACUGAAUGUCAUCAGAUCCCAAAUCAACUGAUUUUUGUUUCGAUGGGUGAUGAAAAAGGAAACAACUUUUUGGAAACUCAGUAUCUUAAAACUGGGAGCUGGGGGAAGAGCAUUUGGGUGAGGGAAUACAUAAGCCAUUCUCCAGUGGAAGCCAAGGCAAGUUGUUUAUUAAUGCCAACUGCAAAAUACAUACAGGGAUGAGAAAUGAGUGAUGAGGAUUGCAACUAGAUCUGACUUUGAGCUCCUCAAGGUCAAGGCUUGUGUCUUAUUCACCCACCUAUUUGCAAUACCUGG
ensembl:lncRNA